AGUGAACGCUGGCGGUAGGCCUAACACAUGCAAGUCGAACGGCAGCACAGUAAGAGCUUGCUCUUACGGGUGGCGAGUGGCGGACGGGUGAGGAAUACAUCGGAAUCUACUUUUUCGUGGGGGUUAAGGAAGGAAAAGUUACGAUAAAACCGAAACCGCCGAAGGGUGGAAGGAGGGGGAACUUCGAACCUGCCGGGUAUGAAGUGGCGGAUUUCGGAUUAGCUAGUGGGGGGGGUAAAGGCCCACCAAGGCGCGGAUCGGUGGCUGGUCUGCGAGGAUGAUCAGCCACACUGGAACUGAGACACGGUCCAGACUCCUACGGGAGGCAGCAGUGGGGAAUAUUGGACAAUGGGCGCAAGCCUGAUCCAGCCAUACCGCGUGGGUGAAGAAGGCCUUCGGGUUGUAAAGCCCUUUUGUUGGGAAAGAAAAGCAGCAGGUUAAUACCCCGCUGUUCUGACGGUACCCAAAGAAUAAGCACCGGCUAACUUCGUG
rnacentral:rRNA from 1 species